CCGCAUGCCGGCCUUCGACCAAGAGCUUUCGUUCUUUUGCACAGCUCCGGCUGUUAGCCUGGGAGCAGGUAGAGCUGGGUUAGGUUGAACAUUUUACUGACGAGAAAAGGGAUUGCUUACCUGGCUCUUUUGCUUGCAGAAUGGAUAUCUCUUCUAAGAUAAGGACAAAGAGCCCCUAGUCUCUCCUGGUUGGUUACAGAAGAACAACGGAGUUGAAGAAAAGGAGCCCGUGGCUUCGUAACGUUGAAAGUGCAGGGGCAGUGCAGCUGCGAGACUGGGCCGAAGCGGCAGCAGCGGAUCAGAUUGAUUACUUACAGGAGGGACGAGCAAAGAGCUGAAAGUAUAUAUGAAAAAGAAGGAAGAAGAGAAGAAUCUGAAAAGGGCCUUAAACCGUAGCUGGUCAAGAGCAGAAUUUACUUCUUACUGAGGAAGAAUUGAGAUGAAUAUGAGAAUAGAAUGUAUGCCAAUGUGUACAUAUCCUUAAGUAUGUGGUUGACUGUAUACACUAAUAACUUUCAUUCUAUACUAUUACUCCAGUAUCAUGUUAAAGAACACACUUAGGUAAUUUUAUGCAUAACCAACAGUUGAAUUUGAUGGACUUGACUACAAACCUUGGUGCUUGGAGUUGGGCAGACAAGGGUAGAAAAAUUAAAUACAUUCUCUUCUUACCUCGGUAUGUCUCUCCUUACACAACCAACCAAAUGUCUAUUUUAGGUCCUUUGCAUUUCCAAAUAAACUUUAGAAUUAUAUUGCCAAUUUACACCAAAAUAUAUAAAACACUUCUUGGGAAUUUGGGAGUACAUUGAAUCUACAAAUCAAUUUUGGGAGAAUUGAGACCUUUACAAUAUCAGCUCUUUCAUUCCAUGUUCAGGAUAUAGUCUUCCAUUUGCUUAGAGCUUCUUAAUUUUUUUUCUCAAUAAUAUUUUAUAGUCCGAUGCAUAAAAGUUUUAGAUAUCUUUUAAAAGAUUGA